GCGGCCAUAGCGCGGUGGUCCCACCUGAUCCCAUGCCGAACUCAGAAGUGAAACGCCGUAGCGCCGAUGGUAGUG
rnacentral:rRNA from 1 species